CAGGGCCAUUGUUUGCCAGCCCCUGGUCUAAGAAAAUAGUCGAUAAACAGAUAUAUAUAGCCAAUGAAUGGUUCAUUAUGUACUCAUUAAAAUUAGUAAUGAGUAUAAUGAAAAACAUGAGAAAAUAUUAUAUUAAGUUAUAAAAAAGCAAGAUACAAAGUGUAUGAAUGGUUAUGAUCAUGGCUGUAAAUAACACACCAAGCAUAUAA